UACGAAGGGGGCUAGCGUUGCUCGGAAUCACUGGGCGUAAAGGGUGCGUAGGCGGGUCUUUAAGUCAGGGGUGAAAUCCUGGAGCUCAACUCCAGAACUGCCUUUGAUACUGAGGAUCUUGAGUUCGGGAGAGGUGAGUGGAACUGCAAGUGUAGAGGUGAAAUUCGUAGAUAUUGGGAAGAACACCGGUGGCGAAGGCGGCGCUCUGGACCGAGACUGACGCUGAGGCGCGAAAGCGUGGGGAGCAAACAGG
rnacentral:rRNA from 1 species